rnacentral:rRNA from 1 species
GAUGAACGCUGGCGGCGUGCCUAAUACAUGCAAGUCGAGCGAACGGACGAGAAGCUUGCGUCUCUGAUGUUAGCGGCGGACGGGUGAGUAACACGUGGAUAACCUACCUAUAAGACUGGGAUAACUUCGGGAAACCGGAGCUAAUACCGGAUAAUAUUUUGAACCGCAUGGUUCAAAAGUGAAAGACGGUCUUGCUGUCACUUAUAGAUGGAUCCGCGCUGCAUUAGCUAGUUGGUAAGGUAACGGCUUACCAAGGCAACGAUGCAUAGCCGACCUGAGAGGGUGAUCGGCCACACUGGAACUGAGACACGGUCCAGACUCCUACGGGAGGCAGCAGUAGGGAAUCUUCCGCAAUGGGCGAAAGCCUGACGGAGCCACGCCGCGUGAGUGAUGAAGGUCUUCGGAUCGUAAAACUCUGUUAUUAGGGAAGAACAUAUGUGUAAGUAACUGUGCACAUCUUGACGGUACCUAAUCAGAAAGCCACGGCUAACUACGUG